rnacentral:miRNA from 1 species
CCACGGACUAUUAGAUGGGC